AUGCAAUUAGACACAAGUUUGAACUCAUGAAGUAGCGAGUAUUUCGAAUAGAGAAAUGAUCUGAAACAUAACUUGCCACAUGUUCCCAAUCCAAAGUAAAAAUAAUGCUGAUAUGUAGGGGCGUCAAUGGACCGGAUUUGGGUUGGACCCGUCCAAAUCGCAUUUAAAUUGGAUGGGUUGGACGGUCCAUGCUUUGGCAUCGGGUUGGACUGAUCCGUAUUAUUUUGUUCCUAAGUAAUUGGUGGACCAAAAUGGACGAAGUUGAUUAGUCCGCAUAUCACCUGGGGACCGAUUUUACUUCGACUCAAAGUCUCCAACCUAGGGUUUCUCCAAGGGAAUUCUCGCCAACGGCUCUUUUUUUCUGACGGUUCUCUCACCGGCAAGUCUGUGACUAUCUCUGUCAGUUUGCUUGAGCUGCAUGAGAGAGAAUAUAUUGUCUUCACUUCGGACUCCAACUCUCCAAGUCUCCAACCUAGGGUUUAUCCAAGGGAACUCUUUCCAACGGCUUUUUUUCCGAUGGUUCUCUCACCGGCGAGUCAGCAACUAUCUCUGUUAGUUUGCUUGAGUUGCAUGUGCAGAAAAUGUAUUGUCUUACUAGCGGCUAUCUCUGACAUUUUUCUCUCCAUCUGUUUCUCUCUAACAUUUUUAUCUCCACCAGUUUUCUCUCUCCAACGGUCAUCUCUCUUCUGUGAACUGCAAUCAAUCGUUGAAAUAGGAAAUAUAUCACCCCUCAGUUGGCUUCCUUGAUGGCAUUGCAGAACUCAGAGUGAUGAUGACGACAACUUUUUUGGGUAGUUGUUUCCUCCAAGUAAGCUGUGUUUGGAGACUUGGAGUGAUGAUGAUGAUUUGUUGCAACACAAAUCUUAGGUAAUAAAUUGGAUAAAGGGUCGGAUGAUCUUGACAGCAAAGAUUCAUGGUGAUUAUCAAUUUAAUAUCUUGAUUUUCUACUUAAAAAAUCUCCAACUCUAUGGUGUGACCGAUUUACUGUGUUUUUUUUUUGUGUGAGUCCUCACUCCUCUCCCUAUUAAAAUCAUGUUCCUGGUUUGGGGUGUUCAUCAUGAGUGUACCUGGCUAGUGGCUCCUCAAGAAGCCGGAAAUAGAAAGCAGAAUCUGUUUGGAUUCAAUUGAUAAGUAAUAACCUGGCAUAAGAACAGUAUGCAGUAGCUCUUGUGUAUUCUUUGGUUAAGAACUUAUCAAGAUGGUUGGAAUUUGGUUCAUCUUUUGUUUGUUUUUUAUUAAAUUCUAAAAGAUUAUAUUGACAAACUCUUAAUAUGGAAUGAAGUGUUGCAUUUCAAUC